rnacentral:rRNA from 1 species
UGGGCAACCUGCCCCAGACACUGGGAUAACUCCGGGAAACCGGGGCUAAUACCGGAUACUCUCAGCCGACCGCAUGACCGGCUGAGGAAAGCUCCGGCGGUCUGGGAUGGGCCCGCGGCCUAUCAGCUUGUUGGUGGGGUCAUGGCUCACCAAGGCGACGACGGGUAGCCGGCCUGAGAGGGUGACCGGCCACACUGGGACUGAGACACGGCCCAGACUCCUACGGGAG